rnacentral:lncRNA from 1 species
GAUUUGUUUGACCCCAAGUACAAUUAAAAUAACCCAGUCCUGGUACUGAAAAUUUCAUUUGGUGACAAUAGUUUACAAGAUGGGACUUAUCUCCCCCAUUCUUUGGUGAUUUCAUUAGUUCACCUUCAUAUUUAUAUAUAAUUUAGGAAGAUUCUACUGUAUUAGGCUUCUAUCCUAUACUUAAAAUGGCCCUGAAUUUUAACAGUCUCUCCUCAUAUUCCUUCCCUCAUCCUCCACUCUACUCUCUUCACUUGAUCCUCAGGUUCCAGUCACCAUCAUCAAUUCAUAUCAUUGCAUUCUGUUUUCCAUUCCUAACAAGGCCUAUCUAUUCUCCCUGGUCUCUUACCAUACAACUGACCUCAGUGGUCCCACAGCUUGUAAUUUGGGUGUCAUUGACAUAACAGCUAAUAUCCACAUGUAAGAGGAUUCAUACCAUAUUUGUCUGUCUUGGUCUGUGUUAUCUAACUCAGGAUUUUUUCUUAGUCCCAUCUAUUUACCUGCAAAUUUCAUGAUUUCAGUUUUUAAUGGCUGAGUAAUACAUCAUUGAAUAAAUUUACCAUUUUCUUUAAUAUUUCUUUAUCCACUGUCCUGUUUAUGGACAUCUCAGUUAUUUUCUUAUUUCUGGCUAUUAUUAAUAGAGCAGUAAUGGAUGUGGAUCAGCGAGUGUCUCUGUGCUGAAAUAUCUUUUGGGUAUAUCCCCAAAUUUGAAUGGCUGCAUAUUAGGAUAAAUUGAUUUCCAUCUUUCUGAAGAACCACCACACAGGUUUCAAUAGUGGCUGUACAAGUUUUCACUCCCACCACAUCCUUGGCAGCAUGAGCUGUCAUUUGUUUUGUUGAUCUUAGUGAUUCUGGUGGGUAUAAGAUGAAAUUUCAAUGUAAUUCUGAUUUGCAUCUCUUGGUUAAAAAUACUGAACAUUAAGAGUUUCUUAUCUAUUUAAGUUUCACAUUUUUGAGAAUUUUGUUUAGAUCUGUACCUUAUUUUUAAUUGGGUUACUUGUUUUCUUGAUAUCUAAUUUGUUGAGUUCUUUAUAUUUUUAAUAUUAGCCCUUUAUUGGCUGUGUAGUUAGGAAAAAUCUUUCCCCAUUCUAUAGGCUGAAGCUUUGUGCUAUUGAUUGUGUCCUUUGCAUAGCAGAAGCCUUUUUUGUGUUUCCAGAGGUCCCAUUUAUUAAUUAUUGACCUUAGUGCCUUAGCUUGUGGUUUUCUGUUUAGAAAGACUCUUCCUGUGUUACUGAAUUCACUCUCUCUGCUAUCAGGUUCAGUGCAUCUAGUUUUAUAUUGAGGUCUUUUCUAUUUUGCAGAAUAAUUUGAAGAGUAUUAGCAUUAACUCUUCUUUUAAAUCUGGUAGAAUUCUGCACUAAACCCAUAUACCCAGGAUUUUUUAAAUGUCUUCUUAAUUUUAGUAGGGGUUGUAGACCUAUUUAAAGAAGUGCAAUGUAUUGAGAAUAGUAUCCAUUUCUUUGAAAAUCUCCAGUUUGGUGGAGUCCAGGCUUUUAAAGUAUGUCUUUAUGGUUCUCUGGAUUUCCUUAGUGUUUGUUGCUAACCCCCUUUACGUUUCUAACUCCCCACCCAACAUGUGCCUUUUACUUAAAGAUUGGCCAAUCUUAUUGAUUUUCU